GGACUACCCGGGUAUCUAAUCCCAUUCGCGACCCACGCUUUCGUGUUUCAGCGUCAGUAGUGGACCAGUCUUCUGCCUUCGCUUUUGGUGUUCCCCAUGAUAUCAACGCAUUUCACCGCUACACCAUGAGUUCCGAAGACCCCUUCCACACUCCAGUCUCGCCGUUUCCCUUCCGAGCCCUCGGUUGAGCCGAGGAAUUUGAGAAGAGACUAACGAAACCGCCUACACACCCUUUACGCCCAAUGAUUCCGGAUAACGCUCGAGGCACUCGUAUUACCGCGGCUGCUGGCAC
rnacentral:rRNA from 1 species